AUGCUCAGAGUGGGGGCUUUGGGGGGGCUUUGGGUUUCUCCUGGGAGCAGGGACUGUCCCCUGUCCCGGCAGGACUGGCUUUGGUGGGGGCUCUGCUGUGGGGUGGGGUCCCAGCACGGGGCGGCUGCAGGACCCCCAUGGAGGGGGCCAGAGCCGGAUCCAGGGUCAGGGACAGCUUGGGAAGGGUCUCCCUCCUGCCUUUGGGCUGGGCACCUGCCCCAGGGUGGGCUGGGGGCCAGGGCAGCUUCCCGGGCCUGGGGGCUGAGCUGUGCCCCUGCCCCCCUUUGGGGGCUCCGUGCUGGCUCUGAUGAGCUGUCACUGCCGGUCUCAGCAGCUCAGGGACACCUCAGGUGUCACUCCCCAUGCUCAGGGGACUGGGGAAGGCACGGUCCCAGCUCGGGGGGGCUGCAGGAGGGAGCUGGGGCAGCCCGGGCUGCGGCUCACCCUGUGCGGGGAUGGCAGGAGAUGGAAGGGAUGGCAGGAGGAGGAGGAGGAAGGGAUGGCAGCGGGAGGAAGGGAUGGCAGCGGGAGGAAGGGAUGGCAGGAGGAGGAAGAGGAAGGGAUGGCAGCGGGAGGAAGGGAUGCCCCCCCAGCCCAGGUGACCCUUGGCCCUUUCUGAGCCCCGUGCCGGUGUUUGUGUCCCCUCCCGGUGCCGGCAGCAGCAGAGCAGGGGGUGCCGCCUCUUCCAUCGCUCCCAUCCCUCGCUCCCAGCCGGGGCUGGCGUGGGCACCAGCAGGUCCCAGCACGCCUCCCCUCAAACCAGUUCGCAGCAAACUUUUCACCCCGCUGGGCUGGGACCGGCAGAGCGGGACUGGGGGAGCCCCAGGGAGCUCCCACGGGGGGUGCAGGGGGUGCACCUGGGCCCCUGCCCCUCCCAGUGGCUCUUCCGUGCCAUUCCGUGCCCUCCUCCUGGCACCUCUGGCACCGAGGCUGGCCGGGGCUGGGGUCCCACCCCGGGCUGGUUGCUGGGGUGCAGCUGGCGGAGCUCCAGCCCCGCUGCUCAGGAGCCCUGCGUGCUCUGGGGUGUGCUGGCAGGGGGAGCAGGGAGCGCCCCUUCCCCUUCCUCAGACCUUCCCCUUUCCCAGACACUUCCCUUUCCCCUUUCCCAGACACUUCCCUUUCCUCCUCCCCACGGCAGCCCCUGGCAGGGCCAGCCCCGGAGGGCAGGGUCACACCCCCCGUGUCCCCUCGUCCCCCUCCUUCGGUUCUGGGGGGGCUCCUCAGCGCCAGCCCCGCUCCCCCGGCCCCCUCGGGGACUGA
rnacentral:lncRNA from 1 species